rnacentral:snRNA from 1 species
AGCUUUAUGCAGUGGUAGUACCAUAGCCAAUGAGGGUUAGCUGUGGCAUGAUUAUUGCUAAUGGAAAACCAGUACCCCCUGUGACGACUUGCAAUAUAGCUGACAUUGGCAAUUUCUGACCAUCUCUACGGAGA